CCUACGGGUGGCAGCAGUAGGGAAUAUUGCUCAAUGGGGGUACCCCUGAAGCAGCAACGCCGCGUGGAGGAUGAAGGUUCUCGGAUUGUAAACUCCUUUUGUUAGAGAAGAUAAUGACGCUACCUAACAAAUAAGCACCGGUUACCCCCGUACCAGCAUCCGCGGUAUUACGGGAGGCGGAAGCGGUACUCGGAAUCAUUGGGCGUAAAUGGCGCGUAGGCGGGAUAGCAAGUCAGAUGGGAAAUCCUAGGGGUUAACCAUAGAACGGCAUUUGAAACUGGUGUUCUAGAGUUGGGGAGAGGUAGGUGGAAUUCUUGGUGUAGGGGUAAAAUCCAUAGAGAUCAAGAGGAAUACUGAUUGCGAAGGCGACAU
rnacentral:rRNA from 1 species